rnacentral:tRNA from 1 species
AGAUAUAACUUAUUAGGAAAGUGUUUCAUUUACACUGAAAAUUUUUCUGUGCAAAUCAGGAUAUCUUGAU